GGAUCCAGACUUUGAUUAUGGCUCAGGAUGAACGCUAGCUACAGGCUUAACACAUGCAAGCCGAGGGGAAACGACAUCGAAAGCUUGCUUUUGAUGGGCGUCGACCGGCGCACGGGUGAGUAACGCGUAUCCAACCUGCCCAUCACUUGGGAAUAACCUUGCGAAAGUAAGACUAAUACCCAAUGUUAUCCCACGAAGGCAUCCGAAUGGGAUUAAAGAUUUAUCGGUGAUGGAUGGGGAUGCGUCUGAUUAGCUUGUUGGCGGGGUAACGGCCCACCAAGGCAACGAUCAGUAGGGGUUCUGAGAGGAAGGUCCCCCACAUUGGAACUGAGACACGGUCAAACUCCUACGGGAGGCAGCAGUGAGGAAUAUUGGUCAGUGGGCGAGAGCCUGAACCAGCCAAGUAGCGUGCAGGAUGACAGCCCUAUGGGUUGUAAACUGCUUUUAUAAGGGAAUAAAGUGGGUCACGUGUGACUUUUUGCAUGUACCUUAUGAAUAAGGACCGGCUAAUUCCGUGCCAGCAGCCGCGGUAAUACGGAAGGUCCGGGCGUUAUCCGGAUUUAUUGGGUUUAAAGGGAGCGUAGGCCGGAGAUUAAGCGUGUUGUGAAAUGUAGAGGCUCAACCUCUGCACUGCAGCGCGAACUGGUCUUCUUGAGUACGCACAACGUGGGCGGAAUUCGUGGUGUAGCGGUGAAAUGCUUAGAUAUCACGAAGAACUCCGAUUGCGAGGGCAGCUCACGGGAGCGCAACUGACGCUGAAGCUCGAAAGUGCGGGUAUCGAACAGGAUUAGAUACCCUGGUAGUCCGCACGGUAAACGAUGGAUGCCCGCUGUUGGCCUGAAUAGGUCAGCGGCCAAGCGAAAGCAUUAAGCAUCCCACCUGGGGAGUACGCCGGCAACGGUGCAACUCAAAUGAAUUGACGG
rnacentral:rRNA from 1 species